rnacentral:rRNA from 1 species
GAGCGGUAGAGAGAAGCUUGCUUCUCUUGAGAGCGGCGGACGGGUGAGUAAUGCCUAGGAAUCUGCCUGGUAGUGGGGGAUAACGUUCGGAAACGGACGCUAAUACCGCAUACGUCCUACGGGAGAAAGCAGGGGACCUUCGGGCCUUGCGCUAUCAGAUGAGCCUAGGUCGGAUUAGCUAGUUGGUGGGGUAAUGGCUCACCAAGGCGACGAUCCGUAACUGGUCUGAGAGGAUGAUCAGUCACACUGGAACUGAGACACGGUCCAGACUCCUACGGGAGGCAGCAGUGGGGAAUAUUGGACAAUGGGCGAAAGCCUGAUCCAGCCAUGCCGCGUGUGUGAAGAAGGUCUUCGGAUUGUAAAGCACUUUAAGUUGGGAGGAAGGGUUGUAGAUUAAUACUCUGCAAUUUUGACGUUACCGACAGAAUAAGCACCGGCUAACUGCGUG